UGUAAAUGAUGACUCACUAAAUUCUAUUCCUGAAAAAAAGAAAGAAAAAAAUAAAGAAUUUCCUUCACAGGGGGAAAACAACAACACAUAGAUGGAACUAGGUGAUAUAAGGCAGCGAAAGACAAAUGCCCUAUGUUUUCACGCGUACGUAGAAUUUAGGAAACAAAACAAAUGAGCAAAGGAAAAAGAGAGAGAGAGAGAGAGACCAACCAAGAAACAGACUCUCCGCUGUAAAAAACAGAAGGAUGGUGAGCAGAGAGGAGGUGGCUGGGGGAAUGAGUGAACCAGGUGAUGGAGAUUCAGGGGUGCACUUGUCCUGCUGAGCCCUGGGUGAUGUAUGGAGUGUUGAAUCACUGCAUCGGACACCGGAAAGGAAUCAACAUUGUACGUUGCCUCUACAGGAACUAAAUGAAAUGAAGAAUAUGAAAUAAAAUGCAAAAAAUGAAUUAAAAUAUUACCAAAUACAAGAGAAUAGAAAAAUAACGUUUAAAAACUAAGAUGAAACAUGAAAAACUAAAAAUAGAAGAUCCUAUAAUAAGCUCCCUAGAUCUUUCCACCAUAUGAGAUUCCAAGGAAAGUCUGUGACCCAGAAGAGGGCCCUCACCCAACCAUGCCAGCACCCUGAUCUUGGACUUCUGGCCUCCAGACAUGUGAGCAAUACAUUUCCGUUGUUGUAUAAGUCACCAAGUGUAUAAUACUUGUUACAGAGGACUGGGUAGACGAAUCCCUAAACCAGAAGACAAUUGAUAGUAUGGCAUUGUAUGGGGUACACCAGAGUUCCACGUGGCUCCCCUUCAUGGCUAUGAUCUUUUCCCAACUUUUUGUUCUUGUAACAAAUAGCGCUGACAUCAAUAUUCUUAUCACCCAUGCGUGUGCCCAAAUGCUCCCCACGCCCCCUUGUUGCCAAGGGACUUUCCCUGUGGUAUAUGCAAAGGUCGAUUUUGGUUACUCAUUACGCGGGCAAGUUGAUGAAUCAUUUCUUUGAUGGAUUCUGGACUUUGCUUUAUGCUUUCGGGAGACCUCCACUCCAGCAUCAUAGAAUGAGAGGCGUCCCUCCACGCUUUCUACCAGUACUUUCAUGGUUUCAGUUUUUCGGUCCCGGCCCACCCUACCGCCGCAGAUGUCCUGUCCAUGUAGGACGCCGAGAAGCACCGCUGUCGCUCUGAGAAAGAAGGGGUUGUGGGGCUGCCCAGACGGGUCGACCAGCACACGCCGCUCGCCGCCUGCCGGCUGGCGGGAAGCGACCGCGACCGCGGCGGCCCACCGUGCAGGUGCUGCAUACAAUCAAGAAGCCAAACCCACAAGCUUGAAACAGGCUCUGGGGCUCAACUUACAACUGGCCUGCUGGGACAAAGACUACACCAGACCAGUCAGAGCGACAGUGGACCCCAGCACCUAUCUUUCCCUGCCUUUUCCCCUCAUAAGGCUAAAAAUCACACCCAGGGGCAGAGAGUUAUCAUGCAAAUAAAACAUACCACGUAUGAAAAAGCAUGUUCUGUCAACUGCACCUGCACACCCAACUUCCUAUAUUUCUCCACCCUUACAGGGUUAGAUGUCACUCCUUUCCUGCCUUCUACCCUUCGAAAACCUUCCCUGGGGGCACCUGGUGGCUCAGUAGGUU